GAUGAACGCUGGCGGCGUGCCUAAUACAUGCAAGUCGAGCGAAUGGAUUAAGAGCUUGCUCUUAUGAAGUUAGCGGCGGACGGGUGAGUAACACGUGGGUAACCUGCCCAUAAGACUGGGAUAACUCCGGGAAACCGGGGCUAAUACCGGAUAACAUUUUGAACCGCAUGGUUCGAAAUUGAAAGGCGGCUUCGGCUGUCACUUAUGGAUGGACCCGCGUAGCAUUAGCUAGUUGGUGAGGUAACGGCUCACCAAGGCAACGAUGCGUAGCCGAACUGAGAGGGUGAUCGGCCACACUGGGACUGAGACCCGUCCCAGACUCCUACGGGAUGAAGCAGUAGGGAAUCUUCCGCAAUGGACGAAAGCCUGACGGAGCAACGCCGCGUGAGUGAUGAAGGCUUUCGGGUCGUACAACUCUGUUGUUAGGGAAGAACAAGUGCUAGUUGAAUAAGCUGGCACCUUGACGGUACCUAACCAGAAAGCCACGGCUAACUACGUGCCAGCCGCCGCGGUAA
rnacentral:rRNA from 1 species